UCGUGCUAGACGGGAAGUUAGCGGUGUCCUGUAACCUGCAAUCCGCUAUAGCAGGGUUGAAUUCCAUGCCCGAGGUUUUUGGGAGAGUGUGGUCUUGCUGUAUGCAGCCGGACGUUGAGAACCGGCCCUUGCGCAAUAGAGGCUUGUGAACCCCGUCAGGUCCGGAAGGAAGCAGCGGUAAGCAAUGUCCGAUAUGUGCCGUAAGGCAACCCGGUUUGAGUUCGGAGCAUUACAUGCGUACAUUCUACGGAUCGGAGGCUGGUGCACGA
rnacentral:SRP_RNA from 1 species